rnacentral:tRNA from 1 species
CCUGGUGGCUCAGUGGUAGAGCACUUGCCUAGCAUGAUUGAGGGCCUGGGUUCAAUUCCCAGUACCAGAG